AGGAAACUUCAGUAAGAAAGAGGAAAAUAACUACGAAACAUCAAAGAAAAGCGAAACAGCAUUUCAAGAUUGCAGUGCAAAAAGUCCAGAUAUAAUACCUCUCUCUGUAGACGCUGAUGUUUCUUUCAUGAGUGGAGGUUUUAUAGAUGAAAUUUCGUAUUUACCGCAAAAAGGUUCCCCGGAAACCGAUGUCUUUCGUGAGUACAGUCAUACAACAUUGUAGUAGCCUAUUUACAUGAAAAUGGGAAUACACUAGGAAGGGAUACCGGCUCAUUUAUCAUCUAACUGCUAACAAGUUGCAUACACAAAUUUGUGAGCUGUGUAAUAAAUAGUGCCUUAUUUUGAGACAAGAUCUUUAGUAAAUUUGAUCUAAAAUAAAAUAUACAGCAUCCAC